AAUCAAGAGAGAUUUGUGAAUCUGUUCACUCCACAAACCGCCCACCACCUGCCAAUUAACAAGCAAUCCCACUGAGUACUGUGGGAGGGACAUAAGGAUGAAGGCGCCACUGGGAAGUGUGCAGCUUUGUGGAGAAUACUGAGGGAGAGAACAACCCGGAGACAUUUUCAUUUAACAGGAAGGCGGGCCAGCAGCAGCUGUAGAAACUCAGAGAGCCAAGAAAGCCUCCAACUUGGAGGGUUGAAAGGCACUGGGGACUGUUUGGAGGUGAACGAAUGAUAUUUGGAUGUUUGGAAAAGAUGGGGACGACUUUGCAGGCUCCCAUCUUCAAAGAAGUUACCAAAGCUAGAAAACACAUGGUCCAUACCAUGGCAUAGACUGUCCCACUUUCUUCCCCCAUCUGAAGAUCACUGAAAUAUGAGUGGCUGGAUCGAAAAGCAAUCUGUAGUGGGGCUGUGGAUGUAUCUUAGUGGUAGAGCCUUUACCUAGCAUAGAAAAGGCCAUGAGUUCAUAGGCGCCAUGCCGGGGGCGGGCUAUUGGAAUGUUUCAGCAAAUCAGAACCACAGACUCUCUCUAAGGUUCUCUCUCAUUGUUGCUACUGCAUCUCCGUCAACAAGUAACCACAGGGCACAGCGGUGCUGGCUGGCUGCAGCUAGCCCCACUUAUUGGCUCACACAGAGUCUUCGGAGAGGGACGGGACUGUGUUGUUGGGGCACUAGAGGAGUAAAUGCUUUCCAAAGUGCAAAUCAGACAGCAGCCUUCACGGGCUUGAACAUCUCCCGUGGGCCCCAGUGCCACACGAAUCUUCCAUCACCAAGGCUGAGCUCUCAAACCCAAGCCCUUCAGGUGUUACACCUUCCGCUGAAUGGUGCUUCAUCCAUAUUGCGUCCUCCACAUUGCCUCCCAUUGCACAGUCUCAAGCCACGUGUGAACUUCACCAAUCUUGAGGAUGGCAGCCAGACCCUGGCUAUUUUGCUCCAUGGCUUGAGAAAUAAACGGAAAACACAGAGUAAAAA